GGCCAACAAAUAUAAAACCAGAGAGAUCUACGCUUGCAAAGUGGCUGUCAGAGAUGUUCUUCAUUUCUGGGUUACCCAGAAAUGAAGAACAGUUCGACUGUCCACUUUUGGGCUUCCACAACUUGAUAUCCUGUUGAUGUUUAAGUGAUUUAAGGCUUUCAGGUUCUAGACCACAUGUAGUACUAUAGAUCUAUCACAAAACAUCAACAUAACAACAACACAUCAACCAAAUAUGGACCAGUCAAAGUAGUGGUCAGAAACUGCUUAUGAAGGCUUCUGGGUUACUCAGAAACUUCAUCCGGCAGUUUCGUCCACACCACUUUGACCACUGAUUACUUUGAGUCAAAUAAGGAUAUAAAGAUUCUAGAGGCAUGGUCAUGUAGCCUACACUUCAGACAACAACAUUACCACAAUAACAGAGUCUAACAUGUAAAAACAAGCAAGAUUUAAAUGCAUGAACAUGCUGUCAGACUUUCUGGGCACGUUCUGGGUUACCCAGAAACGUUCGGUCAAUGCCGGUCAAUGUGGUUUGACCACUAAUAACUUUCAAUCAGCUUAUGAUCUGACUCUGAUUCCAGUUUCAGAUCAAAGAUCUCAUGGCAUACUACAAGAUCAAAGCUUAAAAAUACAAAAACUAAACACAGAAGGAGAUCUACAAGGCCUGACAUUCCUUGUCAGACAACAAAAUUUUAUUUUUUUUCAGAUUUUGUAAAUCUUCAAAUCCGAGCCUCUAGAUGUUAUGGAUCUAACAUCUAGCAACCCAGAUCAUCUUUAUACACUACAUACAACAUAUUUAACACAAAAAAACUAACAUCUAACAUAGGAUCAAAAGUCAGAUUUUUUUUUUUAGGGUUUAUACCUCCUAUGAGCAAUCUUUGAUUCUUGGCUACUGAUUUGGUUCUGGAAUUCAUGGGGCUUGAUUCAAGGACUGGUCUAGUACUGGAAAUUCGUGGGGUUUAGAGAGAGAGGCUCAAGGUUGAGUGUUUAUGCAAAAUAUGAGCUAGCAAGUGACAUUUUCUCUCUCUUAAUCUAUUUAUACCACUUAGAUUCAAUGAAUCUAACUUGCAAGGUGUCAAUAGAGAUAAGCUUGAAUGAGUUUUAGGCAUGUGCUAUAAAUCUAGAGUGAUGACUUGCAAUCUAGCUUAUUAAAUAAAUACCAAAAAGGCUAAGUUAGUAAACUAAAAAAGUAAUUUAAGGGUAUUUUUGUCAAUGAUGCUUGAAUCUAGGUUAAAAUCAAUAGAUCUUAAACCUUAAGGUUUCCCAAAUAAUUUCUAGGGUUUAAAAAUUUAAGUUUAAAGUUUAAUAAAAUUUUAAUUAGACCACACUAAUUAAAAUUAGGAAUUUUAAAAUAAUUAGGGUUUCUUAAUAUUAUUAGGGUUUUCUAAUUAACAAUAUAAUUUAUUAAAAUACUAAUUAAGGUUACCAUUUUAGCAAUAAGGAUUUCAAAUUGGAAAUUAGGGUUUCAAAUUUACAAUUAGGGUUUCUAGACAAUAAUUAGGGUUUACCUAAUUAGCACAAUAUAAUAAUUGUCAUUAAUCACGUACCACUAUUUUUUACCAAUCGAAAACUCCGGUUUGAGUUUCAAAUUAGGGUUUAACGAAUCAAUGCUACUGUUUUAACAUGCCACAACAUAAUUGACCAACCAUUAUCUAUACAUACAUACAGUAUAUAUUUAUAGCACUGAGAAUCAAAAUAUAAUAUUAUUAUAUCAUUAUUCUCAUUCCUCGAUAAAAAUCCAAAAUUAGAGUUUGGAUUCCAUAUCUGAUUUAUUAUUCAUAUUUAACAUUAUUAAUUAAGUUAAAAUAAUUAACUUAAUUAAACUAGCAUAAAUUCAUAUAUUAAAAUAGAUUAAUUAUUAUAAUAAUUCUAAUAAUUAUUUCAUAUAUUAUUUAAAUAAUAUAUAAUUAUAUUUUCAUGGAAAAUAAAUAAUAAAAACAUUUCUACUAUAAAAUUAAUUAUUAAAAGAAUAAACUUUAUAAUAAUCAAUAAUUCUAAAAUAAAAUUAUUUGUAAACAUUCAUGUAAUAAAUAUAUUUUUAUUUACUACAUAAUUACAUAUACACAUUAUCUUGUACAAAUUAUCAUCCUUAAAAUAAUAAUAAAAAAAAAAUAUACGCAAAAUUUCUGAUUUAAUUAUAUAGAAAAUAUCGGGUUGUUACAUUCACCCACCCUUAUAAAGAUUUCGUCCCGGAAUCACCGUUUUAAAACCUAUACAUACCAGGGUACAUAGCAUACACAAUUAUUGCAAGUAGAUCUCGAUCAUAAUCUGAUCGAGCUGAUCUUUAACUAUUCACAUAAAGCUUGUCUUUCUGAUUAAACGAAAAUUUGAUUCCUAAAAGAACUCAAAUUCCUCCUUCAAAAUAUCUUUAUAAAAUAAUUUACUAUAUAUAAGAAAAUAAUAUAUAAUAAAUAAAAUUUGUUCGAGUAAUAUCCGAAAUUGCAUCCCCGACUGCUACAGUUUCUUGAACGGUCAUGUUGAAGACGCUUGCAGUUGAUUUCGUUGGUUUGAUUGUUGAUGUUGGUCCCGUUAUCGCCAAUGUUCUGCUACCUUUUCCUUGUUUGCGCAUUCCUGACCUCCUUUCUCCUUCCUGAACAGUCUUUCACCUUAUACUCCAUUGUUCCACACUUAAAACAUGCAGACUUGCCCUUUAUCUCUUUUCCUUUUUAUCGUAUAGGUGACAAAAAUAUCUUUUGCCCCUUCGUUACCCUAGUUAUCACAAACACGUCUAUAGGGUCAGUUGAUCUUCCGAAUCCUGGCAGUACGAUGGCCUUGAAGUCUUUGACGUUCGUCGAUCGAUUAUCUGGCUGAUCUUCCAGCGACUGGUAUUCCGUUUUGCAUAGCUUGAUCGUCCAUAUUCGCAAAAUUCUGUAUCGGGUCUGGUUGUCUUCCAGGUUUGUUGACAGGUUCUUCUGUCCGUGUAUUUCGUUUUCGUCUCCUUGGCGGCAUUAUCACAAUUUGUUCUUUAUUCUAAGCCUUAUCGUAUACGUAUAAUCAUAUAACACGAAAUUCUAUCUUUAUCAUGUACUCAAUAUAUUAUAUAUUUUAAAAUUUUGGUUUUCUGCAUUAACCAGUACUCAUAUAAUUAACUACUAUCUUUAUACAAACUUAUUUCAUUAAUCCCAUAUAAAUUCAUACUCAUUUCACUUGACAUACCAUAGCACAUAUUGCUUUAAUAAUCCGCUAUCCCUUUGUGACAUAAAAGUCGGGAAUCACUGCCACAACUUAUACGAAAGUUGAGAAUAUUACAUUACACAUUAUAGAGCAUACAUAUUCUACUAAUACUACUUAUUUCUUACACCUUUACUAAUGAUCAUUUGCUUAGUAAUUUGUUUAUUCCCAUUAUCCUCAAUAAUCCAUUUAUACCUAACUAUACCUAGUUCGUCCAACUUACCAUAUAUUAUGAGUUUAAGAACUCACCACAAACAUAUGAGUUUAAGAACUCGACAUUGACCACAUAUUCUUUAACUAUACUUUACCUAUCAGUCAUACUAUCGUUUCAAGGUAUGGUACUAUACUUUUUAAAACAACCACCUCAUUGAGGUAGCUUUCAAUGUGAGCCUCUAUUUUAGCUAUUGGCUUUGAUAUUGGCUCGGUUCUGGAGGUUGACUUCUUCUUUACGGUUUGAGGGUAUCCUAAUCCUUUUCUAUCUGACAUCUACACACAAACUAUCUUGAUUAUCACUUAAUAUAUACACACAGCACACAAUAAUUUUAUAUAAGUUAUCUUUUAUUUUGUUUGACGAUGAAUUUAUUCAAUUCAUCUCCUUAUAAACUCUAUAUGAGUUAUUUGUAUUUUCAACAUUUCCCUCUGUUCUAAGAUUAUAACCUAAGGUCUAACCCACCUAAGGUUUCAAACCCUAAGCUCUGAUACCAUAAUGUGGCGCCCCUAAAUUCGGAUACUUGAAACCCGAACUCGGUGCUUCACGAUACCAUUUCUAUGAGCGGAAUAAUACUAAUAAUAAUAACAAUAAUAUAAAUAACAAACUUAGUUUACAUAUAUCAGAGUCUAAUCCUAAGUACGCAACCUUUACUAUAAUUCCUUACAUGAUAGAUAAUAUAUAUCAUUGCCUUAAUACAGUCUAACUAUUACAAAAGAUACUAUUAAACAUAUUCUGUUUGCUUUUCCUUUUCACUUGUUCUUGUCUGAACCUUCAGGUUGAUCACGCUUAGCUGAAAACAUUUAAAUUAAGCAAGGAUGAGCAUUUUGAGUGCCUAGCAAGUAAUAACAAUUAUAAUUAUAUUUAGCUGAAAGAAUUAAAUGUUUUCUUUGUACAUCACUUCUUCAACGAAUUAAUAGUUGUGAAGUCAACUGAACCUAUAAUAAUAACAUAACAAUUCUAUCUCAAAUUUUUGAAACUACGUAUUGACUAUAUAUAUAGGGUAGUCGACAUACUAUAAACAUUGUUUUUAGUUUUCGUUAAGGUUUAGCCAAAUUUCAUCUGCAAACGAACGAGGGUGAUCUGCCCAAUGUGCCCUGUAUUGAUCAAUACUACAUUACAAGAACGAUAUUAUCGUUCACUCUGUCCGCCUUGGGCGCAUAAAAGUUUUCCAGUGAUCGGGAUGUUCAUAUUUAGACUGGAAUCCGAACCAAAACAAUUUUAAUUGGAUACAAAAAGAUUUUUAUCAUAUUCAACGACAAUUCUAAAUUUGUGUCUAGCUGAUCAAAUAGCUUAGACGGCUUAUAUAUAUAUAUAUAUAUAUAUAUAUAUANNNNNNNNNNNNNNNNNNNNNNNNNNNNNNNNNNNNNNNNNNNNNNNNNNNNNNNNNNNNNNNNNNNNNNNNNNNNNNNNNNNNNNNNNNNNNNNNNNNNCAAGUGGGGACACUUGUAUAACCAUAUAUAAAAAUUAACGAACAGAAUAUAUAUAUGAAUUACUAUAUACUAACAUGUUGAUAAUCAAUGAUCGGAUAUAGAAUAUAUCACAAUAGGGUUAAUAAUAUAGAAUAAUAAUAAUAUAAUUCUGAAACUUCUUACUCAUGUCCAUUGCAUAAAGGAAAUGCAAAUGUAAGAUACUUGUCUGAUGUGCUGCUUACAGUUGUAAUUAGUUCUAUCUUUUAUAUCAUGACCUAUCAUUAAUUAGAUCAUUUUACUGAUUAGAAUAACAUAUUAUAACACAUAACGCUGCUUAUUGCAGUCAACACAUAACCUAAUCACAUUGGCACAUAAGUUUAACAACCAUUGAAUCACAAAUAAUCACAUGUUUAAUUAAAUUAUAUAAGUCCAGAUCAAUUUCUGAAAUAUGUCGGUGUACCGAUGGUUUAAUCGGGUAAUUAUCGAGUCUAAAAUUCUGUCCCGUAACUUAGUAUCAGUCAUAUUAUUUUUAAAUGACUUAAUAAAAUUUUUAAAACAUUUAUUAUAACUUAUCAUGAAUUUUUAAACAUCAGAAUCAUUAUUAAAUGAUUUAAAUAUUAAUUAAUUUUAUUAUCAUUAACAUUUAAUUAAUAUUAAACUAUUAAUAAAACCAUUGCCAAAAUAUUAAAGUUAUUUAUAAUAACUUAGAAUAUUUUUAAAGUAUUAAUAUUACCCUUAAAAUGAUUUUUUAAAUAUUUAAAAUCAUUUUUAAAUAAUUAUCAUUAAUAUUAAAAUAUUAAUGUAUUAUUUAUCAAAAUAUUAAAAGUCAUUAAGUAUCACUUAAUAAUAUUUUUAAUUCAUUUAUAUCCUUUUUAAAUAAUUUUUAAAUUAAUAAAAUUAUUUUUAAACUAUUUAUUAUUAAAUAAAUUUAAUAUUAUUAAUAAUAAAUUAAUAAUCAUUAAUAUUAAUUUAUUAAUAAAGUUAUCCUUUAAAUAUUAAAAGUUAUAUUUAUAACUUCAAAAAUCUUUAAACACUUUAUUUACAUUUAAAAUGAUUUUUUUCUAAUUAUAAAAUCAUUUUUAAUUAAAUUAUUUAAUAUAAUUACUAAUUAAAUCUAAUAGCAUUAAUAUUAAAUAAUUAAUGAAAUUUAUUUUAAAAUAUUAAAAGUUAUAUUUUAUAACUUAAAAUAUUAUUAAAUACCUUUUUAUCAUUUAAAAUGAUUUUUAACAUAAUAAAAUCAUUUUUAAUCAAUUUAUUUAAUGCAUUUAUUAAAUAAAUAAAAUAUAAAUCAUAUCCAAAUAAUUAUUAAUAUUUAUGAAAAAUAUGUCGAAUUAUUAAAAGUUAAUUUUUUAUAACUUCAAAUAAUUUUUAAAACUAUUUUUGGAAUUUUUAAUAAAUAAAUUUUUAUUUUUAAAUGAUUUCUGAAAAAUAAAUUAAAUAAAAUAAAUAAAACUGUCGCUAUAGCCUUUAGCGACAAAAUCUGUCGCCUUAUGUGUCUUGAGCCCUCAAGAACAUUCAUAGCAAUUAACAAGUGAGCACGUUUGACCAAACAUUACUAUCUGAUUAUUGUGUUUCUGGGUAAGUAGAUGAUUAGAGGUUGUAGUACUACUAUCAGACCACACGAUCCAACAGCAAACAUGACCAACAAACAUAAAACCAGAGAGAUCUAGGCUUGCAAAGUGGCUGUCAGAGAUUUUCUUCAUUUCUGGAACCCAGAAAUGAAGAACAGUUCGACUGUCCACUUUUGGGCUUCCACAACUUGAUAUCCUGUUGAUGUUUAAGUGAUUUAAGGCUUUCAGGUUCUAGACCACAUGUAAUACUAUAGAUCUAUCACAAAAUAUCAACAUAACAACACAUCAACCAAAUAUGGACCGGUCAAAGUAGUGGUCAGAAACUGCUUAUGAAAAUUUUUGGGUUACCCAGAAACUUCAUCCGGCAGUUUCGUCCACAAUCGAUUGUUGUGUUCAAAACCAUCUUCCGAUCGAUAAAGCAUGUUUCAACCCAGCCUACUCAUCAUUGAAAGACCUGGA
rnacentral:lncRNA from 1 species